GCCAUUUUUUCGAAGGACAUUUUUUUUGUAACUGAAAUGAGAAAACAAGAUGUAUCAGAGAAAUAAAAAGCUAAAAACAACAAUCUGUGUUGCCAUGAUAAUUUAGUGAAAAAGCCUCUGCUAGGAUUUUUCCUGCCCUGAGGAGCUGAGGGCCUCAGGAAAGAAAUGUAAACAAUGGCUAUCUGCUGCUGUGGAAUGCCACGGGUGCAUCUUCCAUUGGUUCAUGUAGAUUGUUUUCAAUCAGUGACCAAUCACAGCCACCUGUGCCAAGGCUGUGAGCAGUCACAGGUUUUUGUUAUUCAUUCCUGUUCUAUUCUUGUCUUUGUAGCCUUCUGAUCUUCUUCUCUCUCUUCUUUUAGUAUAGCAGUAAUGUAGUAUUUUAGUAUAUUAUAUAACAUAAUAAAUCAGCCUUCUGAUCAAAAUGGAGUCAAGCCUCGUGUCCUCGUCCGAGGGGUUGCAGUUUAAACAAGAAUUGGUGACCCCUGGACGUGUGAAACUGAUGGUCACCCCAAGAGUGACCAUGGAGUCUAGCCUGGAGCUGAAGAAACGAGACCCUGAAGAUGGGCAGAGUUCACAGCCAAGGCAGACAGGAGAACCUGUUGGACUUUCCUGGACAUUGUGUCCAGAGACCGCAGAGCAGCAGAGCUGCACAGCUGGAUCCACAAGGACACUGUCUAGAGGUUCGGCACGAGAGAAGCCUCUCAAAGAAGAUGAACCGCGAGUUUGCAGCCCCCCCGCACUGCCCACAGCUGAGCAAAAGUUUUUCUCUGCUCCCUCGGAGCAAACAGAUCUGCCUUCCCCCCCCCGCUCCUUCUCUUGGGGGGGAUGGGGAGCCGGCCCCGCCCGCUUCGCCGCGGAACUCUCCGCUUCCCCCACCCCGGGAGGGGGCAGAUCCGAUUCUGCCUCAGCCGGCUCCGCCCGCGGCCCCGCAGCCGCCCGAGCCAGCUCCGCCGGCUCUGAUGACUGCGCCUGCGCCGCGGCACCCGGAACCGCCUCCCGCCAAUCCGCCCGUGUUGCCAGGCAACGCGAUCAACAACAGUGAUUCCCCGGCUGUGCUGCUGUCCCUGGGAGCUGCAGGAGCUGCCUCCCUGUCUUCUUCCUCUGCAUCCCAGCCGGCAACUGAAUUCGCAACGGUGCAGGCAGCGCCUGCGCGGGCCGACCCCGUUCCGAGCCCGCCGCCCCCGCCUGUCCCGCUGCUCCCUGCCGAUCCAAUUGCAGUGCAAGAGCUUGCCGAGAAUGGUGCUGAGCCCACGGGACCGCUUCAAGAGCCGACACCAGCGCCCGUGCUGCCCGCACCACCCAUCCCAGUUGUCCCGCUGGUUUCCGAAGCUCCAUCACUCGCAUCAGACCCUGCGAAGAGCCUGUCCUUCCGUGGAGGAGGCGUGGCCCGCCAGCUGGCUGCAGGAGCAGUUCGGCUGGCUGUGUUCAAAAUCAGUGUGGUUUCUGGGUAACUUCGCAUGUGGUCGGGAGCUUCUCCCUGGGGGUUGGGGUGCCUGCCUUCCCCCGAGCGCCCUAGCGGCGUGGGGGAGUUGGCUCCUGUGGUAUCUGCCUCUGGUUCCCAGCCCAGUGGGGAUGGGGGUGGUGCCGAGGGGCAGAAUGCAGGAGCAGUGGCAUUUGCAUUGCAGGAGCAAGAGACACAGAGCAAAGCAAGCAUUGCUCGCUUGCUCUGGAGACAAGAAACCCUCAGAUCUGGGAUGAAAAUUCCUGAGAAAGCUUCUCUUCCCGAGCUGCCGGUGUGCAUCGGUGCUGCUGGGGGGAGGAAGCAUUGGGUCAUUUCUGCUCUGAAGACGCUGGCAGCAUGGUCCUGCCAGGUUCUGAGCACACAGAGCCUGCCUCACAGGCUGGUUCUGGGCCGUUUGGCUCAUUUCCCUGGGCCGGAGCCACUGCCCCGCCCAGUGCUGGGUUUGGGGACUUUGCUUUCCCCACAGGGACCUGGGCCACCAUUCUGUGAGCCAGGUCUGGGUUCUCUGGUCCGUCCACCAGGACCAGGGCCACCCAAGGGUCCUAGAGACCCUCUGCUGCUGCUCUUCUUCUUUUGAAAAAAAAAAAAAUUAAUAAAAAAAAGUGGAAAGAGCUAGCAGCGCAAAAGCAUUGAAAAGCCAAAAAUUAGCCUCAGCCCAAGUGGUUCAAUGAAGGGCUGUGGCCAGGGCAUUCCAGAAAUUUUCUCUGAAUUGUUUCAUGACUGUCAAUGAAUUGUUUGAUGAUUCUUGUUUUCUUUAGCAGUUCUUUGUUUCAGAAUUCUGCAAGCCUGUUUCAGGACCAAAGGGGACUUCCAGAGAUGUCAAAGAGGAACAUCUUCAGUCCAUGGACUCUGUCCUGAAACUCAGCUGUUUGGACUUGAAACAAUGAACUUUCUUUGCAUGAGUUUUUGCAUUUUCUUAUAUUUUAAGAUUGUUUAGUGUUAUGAUAGAAUUUGAUGUUUGAUAAGUGAAGAAUUUCCCUGAAUGUUCUACAGGUGAAGAGCUUCCCUGACCAUUCCACAUCAGCAGUUGAUUGAGAUUUUGAUUGGCAACAGAUGAACCUCAAGAGGUGCUUGUUCUCUCUUCUGCAAGGGCCCAGUAGAAGAGAUUGCAAACAUUUAUUUUUCUAUUUAAUUUAAUAAAUUUAAAAGGGUGAGAUGUAGCCAUGAUAAUUUAGUGAAAAAGCCUCUGCUAGGAUUUUUCCUGCCCUGAGGAGCUGAGGGCCUCAGGAAAGAAAUGUAAACAAUGGCUAUCUGCUGCUGUGGAAUGCCACGGGUGCAUCUUCCAUUGGUUCAUGUAGAUUGUUUUCAAUCAGUGACCAAUCACAGCCACCUGUGCCAAGGCUGUGAGCAGUCACAGGUUUUUGUUAUUCAUUCCUGUUCUAUUCUUGUCUUUGUAGCCUUCUGAUCUUCUUCUCUCUCUUCUUUUAGUAUAGCAGUAAUGUAGUAUUUUAGUAUAUUAUAUAACAUAAUAAAUCAGCCUUCUGAUCAAAA